UACGAAGGGGGCUAGCGUUGUUCGGAUUUACUGGGCGUAAAGCGCACGUAGGCGGCUUUCUAAGUCGGGGGUGAAAUCCUGGAGCUCAACUCCAGAACUGCCUUCGAUACUGGAGAGCUCGAGUCCGGGAGAGGUGAGUGGAACUGCGAGUGUAGAGGGUGAAAUUCGUAGAUAUUCGCAAAGAACACCAGUGGCGAAGGCGGCUCACUGGCCCGGUACUGACGCUGAGGUGCGAAAGCGUGGGGAGCAAACAGGG
rnacentral:rRNA from 1 species